rnacentral:rRNA from 1 species
GAUGAACGCUGGCGGCGUGCCUAAUACAUACAAGUCGAGCGAACAGACGAGGAGCUUGCUCCUCUGACGUUAGCGGCGGGCGGGUGAGUAACACGUGGAUAACCUACCUAUAAGACUGGGAUAACUUCGGGAAACCGGAGCUAAUACCGGAUAAUAUAUUGAACCGCAUGGUUCAAUAGUGAAAGACGGUUUUGCUGUCACUUAUAGAUGGAUCCGCGCCGCAUUAGCUAGUUGGUAAGGUAACGGCUUACCAAGGCGACGAUGCGUAGCCGACCUGAGAGGGUGAUCGGCCACACUGGAACUGAGACACGGUCCAGACUCCUACGGGAGGCAGCAGUAGGGAAUCUUCCGCAAUGGGCGAAAGCCUGACGGAGCAACGCCGCGUGAGUGAUGAAGGUCUUCGGAUCGUAAAACUCUGUUAUUAGGGAAGAACAAAUGUGUAAGUAACUAUGCACGUCUUGACGGUACCUAAUCAGAAAGCCACGGCUAACUACGUG